AAAAAAUGGAACUUGGAACUUCUUUCAGUGCUUCAGGUGUCAACAAGACAAUGUAUUUAUCGAACCCCAUUACCCAAAAAUCCAACUUUCUUCAAAAUUCUUGGCUAAAUCAAUUGAAUUUUUCGUUUCCAGUAAGAAAAAUCUGUUCUUGCAGAGGAAUAGCUAAAGGGUCUACUAUCAGCUCUUUGAAAACUCAAGAAAAGGUCACAGAGAUGUCUUCUAAUCAUUCUCAAGAUCUAGAACUCUCAAGUUUAACAGCUUUAUGCCCAUUGGAUGGUCGUUAUUGGGGUAAAGUCAAAG
rnacentral:misc_RNA from 1 species